AGAAACAAAAUUUUCAAAUAAUAUUAUAGAGAUUUUCUUUUUAUGAAAUCACAUUAUAUAAAAAUAUUAUUAAAUUCCAGUUAUAAAAAUUGUAAAAUUUUCCUUUUUAUUAUAUACAUUUUUUUAUAACAUGUUAUCUUUAUUAUUUUCAAAAGAGGAUUAAGAGAGUACAUAAAUCCAAACAUACAACAAAUACAUUUUUAAGUAAAACAUGAU
rnacentral:lncRNA from 1 species